rnacentral:rRNA from 1 species
UUCGCAAUGCCCGAAAGGGUGAACGAGCGACGCCGCGUGCGGGAUGAAGGCCUUCGGGUCGUAAACCGCUUUUGUAAGGGAAAAACUUAAUGAUGGUACCUUGCGAAUAAGAGGUUACUAACUCUGUGCCAGCAGUAGCGGUAAUACAGAGACCUCAAGCGUUAUCCGGAUUUACUGGGCUUAAAGCGCGUGUAGGCGGGUGGGAACGUCGGUCUUUGAAAGCCCCCGGCUCAACCGGGGAAGCGGAGCCGAAACGACCGAUCUGGAGGGACGUAGGGGGACCUGGAACUUCCGGUGGAGCGGUGAAAUGCGUUGAGAUCGGAAGGAACGCCCGUGGCGAAAGCGAGGUCCUGGACGUCUGCUGACGCUGAGACGCGAAAGCUAGGGGAGCAAACGGGAUUAGAUACCCCGGUAGUCCUAGCCGUAAACGAUGGGCACUAAGUAGAGGGGUUUU